AAGGACGGGGCGCGCUGGGAGAGCGCUCCGCGCGCCCCUCUCUGACGGCGCGGCGCCCGCACUCAAGAUGGCCGCCGCGGCCUCAGGCGUGACGUCAGGGCGCGGGGGCGGGAAGGGGCGAUGGUGGCGCUGAGGGGAGCCGGUGACGGGGACUCACACGGGACAGCCCUGAGCCUGGCACGGUACCGCCGCGGGGCUGGCGGUGCACGCCGAGGACACACCAGCAGACAAGCACCGCUCGAGGACGCCAGAGCUACUGGCAUUAUCGAACAGGGAGCGUAUUGACUUCUUUGCUGUAAGAUCCAAUUGGCAUAAUAUCCAUCUUUAUGGCCACCGAAAGUCCGGCACACCUCUCCUUGUGUGCCAGGUAAUAAAACUGCCACGUUACCCUGACCAGCCCAUGACACACAGGGCUCCCAUCAGCACCACUGCCCUGGCACCGAAAAGCUGCAGUGCCCUGCUCGGAGGCGCUGCCACGGGAGCGGGACUCGCCUCCAGAGCCCGGCAUCCCAAAGCCACUGCCAGGAUAAACCCGCUGCCAGGACAAACCCACUGCCAGGACAAAGCCCACUGCCAGGACAAAAGCCCACUGCCAGGAGAAACCCGCUGCCAGGACAGGUGCCCACUGCCAGGACAAACCCACUGCCAGGACAGGUGCCCACUGCCAGGACAAAGCCCACUGCCAGGACAGGUGCCCGCUGCCAGGACAAACCCGCUGCCAGGACAAACCCGCUGCCAGGACAGGUGCCCACUACUCCCCCAGCUACUGCAGGAGUGGUGGAGUUCAGCAGCAGCAGGACAGUGUUAUGUGUAUUGGGAAAAAAAAAAACUAGAGCUGACAAAUCAAAUUAAUAUUUCUACAAUAUUGAAUGAGAGAAUUCUGUAUUUAAAACCAGUUAAAUACAGAAGUCAGACUACCAAGCUCAUGCAUUAACUCAUCUAUAAUGAGCCAGAGGCAGCAGUGAGAACAUCUCAAAAAAAUCUGUAAGCAUUUAGAUGGAAUGGCUUUUACAAAAAAGCUGCUGAAAUAAUGGGAUGUUAAAUGAAGAUACAGGAUUAGCUAAAAUAAAAUUCAUCACCAUCUUGGAAUGCUGCUGAAGGCUAAAUUCCAGCCAUCACUAUCAGCAAGCUCCUGUGACCAACAUGUUUUUCUCUCAAUUAAAUACAUUGUUCUACUUUUAUUUAUAAGAAAAGAGUGAUGGACUGGCAUGAGUUCUUUCAAUUAAUUUUAUUGAGUAGCCAAAUCUGAUAAAUUAGCACAGAUAAAAUAAGCAUUUGCAUGUGUUAUAAAUGACUUUUUACAGGAAUAAAACAGUGAAAAUUACAAACUGUAAAAAGGAGGACAAGUAAAUCCUGUCUCAAAUUCAGAAGGGGGAAGAUUUAUAACUUCAUACUGAAGAUCAAAUCUUUGCAUUCAGAGAACAAAGAUUUAAUAUUACAAUAUUAUACACUACUUUACAAAAUUAAAUUUACUGUAAGGAUUACAUCCAUAAUAGUAAAAAGAACCUUAAAAUCACAUUUAAUGGUCCCUUAACUUAACAGCCAUUCUGCAUCUUUGAUUAAAUUCUGUUAAGAAAUUAAUUCUAAAUAAAAGUGAAUCAUUCUAGUUAUUGCAACAUAGUCUAUGUGGACUUAGACUCAAAUAUAUUAAUUUAAAAACAGUAAUGAAAGCAAAGUAAAAUGGAUGGUAACAAUGUUGGCUGAACACUUAUGUGUCAAAAUAAGAAACAAUAUUAAAAAAAAAAAAGUGUUUGACUACAAAGAGAGACACACCUCCACCACAGAUUUACAGUGGUGGAGUUGUGGUGCUGAGAUCUAAGUAACAGAACCACUCUUGCCUAUUUUUGUAGUCCAUCUUCAGUGUCCUCGUUUUACAAUUGUAUGUAAAAAAGCAACCACAGGUAGUGUGUGUGUUCAUGUUCCCUGUAUUGCCAUUACAGCAGUACAAGUGAACCAGCAGGCCUUCCCCACUGCAAGGGAAUAAACAAAGUUCAAUAAUUUCUUCUGAAGUGAACUCUCAGAGGGUUCAUCUGACUCAUUUAUCAUGUUUUGCUCUGUAAAACUUAGGGACUCAUCUUCAAACUUGUUAACUGCCACAAAGACUGACAUCUUCAGCCAUUAGUCUGGUGCACAUAAAGCAAUGUGAGAUGGAGGCCAUCUCCAGUAUUUAUGUUUCUUAAAAAAAAAGGGAUAAAGUAGCAAAAUACAGUCACAGUAAGAAAUAGACUUUGGGUGGGCUAUUUGAUGUAAGGAUGGUUUUCAAUUCAAAUUCUGAGUGAUAAUAUACCCCAAACCACAAGAUUUAGGGCAGAACCUACGCAAGUGCAGAGGUUCCAUUUAUGAUUUAAAUGAAGAGAUCCCUUUCCCUCUCCCUGUGGGGGGAAAAAAAUCAGACUGCCAAAGCUUAAAAGACAUCUCUUCACUAUGACUAGAAACUGUGCAAUUCUGUGAAAAGCAGUUCAAGUAAAUAUAUUCCUGUUUGCUACGGAGGCAGCAGACAGGGAAGCUUAAAUUGGUUCUUUAAUACUAUUUUCAUGCUGUUUUAGCCAUUGUUCUGAACUUUAGCUUCUUGUGCUCAAGAACAAUUUCUCCCAAGCAACUCCUCCCCUGACGCGAGGCAAAUCCUGACAAUUACAAGCAGCUACAGCCUGAAAUGGGAGCAAAUGUUUACCCAAAAGUUGACCCUACUGACAUUUUUAUCUCCAAACGUCCUAAGCACAGUACAUUUGACCACUCACAAGUAUUUUACCUCUUCAAGUUACUUGCCCCACAAAGUAAAUUUUGAAAGACCUUUAAGCUUACCACUAUUAAAUAAAAAAGCAAACCAAGAUUUUUCCAUAUGCAACACUUCCAUGGGCAUUGGAAUACAGUAACUUAAAAUACUUUUUACAUUGGUAGCUAUCAAUGAUAGCUUAAUCUUGAAAACUAAAGAAUUAUCAAUACACCUCUAUAAAAUUAUUUAAAUAUUUUUUGUAUACAAGUUUUUACUUCAAGUCCAAUGUCAGCUUCGGUCUGUAGCUCUGGCAGGAUCUCAGAGUAUAUUUAAAGCUUUUAUUUGGUGCACAGUGGCCUUGAACCUGGGCUCAUUACACAGCUCCAGCAAAACACCUUUUUUUUUGAAAACUUCAGGCAUUUCUGCAACCAUAUACAUAUCUUCAAAUUCAAUAUAAUAAUUUUGUUCUUGGAAAAAUAAUUUCCAAUUUGAAUGUCAGAAUAUUCAGUGUUGCAGACCAACAUUUGGUCUGAAGUGCUGCCAACAAGCUUGCUUCAGAAACACACCAGAUCUGAGGGGCCCAACAUUCACUUAAAGUACACAAGAGCCAAAAGUCUACUGAACGUAAACCAAACAAAAUCUGAGAUAGCCUUCCUUGCUCUUCCCCUCCCACACUAUUCAUAAGAUAUUAAAACUAUUCCUUUUACUGAAGAAAAGCAAAGCUUACAAUCUAAGUCUACUUUUGCUGCCAACUCAGCCAAUGACUUUUUAAAAUCUGCCUCAUGUAGGGCCCACUUUUCCCCACUGUUUUUAAAAUUAGAAUACUGACUUAU